UCUUAGGGAUGAGCAAAGAGUGGAUUCUUGAGAAGGAAUCUAUUUCUGGUGAAGAUGCUGUGAA
rnacentral:pre_miRNA from 1 species